rnacentral:sRNA from 12 species
UGCUUUAAAAUGCACGCAUUAUAUCCUGGUGAAGAAUAGCUAAUCACUAUGCCAGGACAAUAUCUCAAUGCACGGACGAGACUAAAGGAUACUUUGGUCGGUAGUUUACGUUCUCAAUGUAUAAGGCUAUGCCGAAGUCGGAGAGUGAAGACGGGAACCCGUCAAGCAAGGAGAGUUGGUGUGUAUUAUAUACAACGAUUAGUGUGACAUGCUUUUGGUCAGUGUAAUAGACGGCUCCUGUGGAGCAAUAACCCUGGGAACUGGAUGAGCUGGUAACUCAUUACAGAUGGCAGGGAAUUACCAAAACAAGCUGAUUUGCCGUGAUACCUGGACAACCAGGAGUAUAACAAAAGCAUAAGUCGUAAGUAGCCCAAGGCAAUAAAAGAUUAUUUAUGAUAUUGAACAAUUAUCAAUGAAUAAAACAAUCUGAAUGAUGGGUGAAAGCUGGAGGUGAUAUUCCUUCAUGGGUUUGACGCUAAUUAAGGACGAACAUCACAAUCCAUCCGUAGGGUGCGAGAGUAUGUUGUAGAAUUAAUUUAGCUGGGGCAAGAAGUCAUUAUCGACGGAUAUUUGGCUCAGACUUGUCUCCCCAUUCGCAUAAUAAAUUACAGUAUAUAAUUCAUAAGAUGAAUAAAAGUCUAUAAUGUGUGUGUUUUAAAG